rnacentral:rRNA from 1 species
UACGUAGGGUGCGAGCGUUGUCCGGAAUUAUUGGGCGUAAAGGGCUCGUAGGCGGUUUGUCGCGUCGGGAGUGAAAACACGGGGCUUAACCCCGGGCCUGCAGUGGGUACGGGCAGACUAGAGUGCGGUAGGGGAGACUGGAAUUCCUGGUGUAGCGGUGAAAUGCGCAGAUAUCAGGAGGAACACCGGUGGCGAAGGCGGGUCUCUGGGCCGUAACUGACGCUGAGGAGCGAAAGCGUGGGGAGCGAACAGG